rnacentral:lncRNA from 1 species
GACCGGAACACAUUCUUUUCUCUUCCAUUUCCUGGAUGAUUCCCUGGAAGGGUGAUCGCUGGUGAAUUGUACAUUUGGACAGCUUAGCUCAGUACAAAAAGUUCUAGUAACAUCCACUGGUAAAUCAACUUUGGAUAUAGAGGGGAGGCAUUUUAGUGAUUCAAAUCUCCUCUUGCCUUGUGGGAGGCCAAUAGCCUGUAAAU